rnacentral:lncRNA from 1 species
AGUUGUUUCGCAUAUAGGGGAGACUUAUCUCGAGGACGAGCGCAGUCAAGGGCGACUCGGGGGUUACAACCCUUCAACAUACCAGUGAGUGAGCCUUUGGUUUUCAGUAUAUACUUAUAUACUUGAUAUUUUCCCAAAAAAUGCGUUUAAAUGAAUGUAUGCCUUGAAAUGCCAUGCAUAUGAAAUGCCAUGCAUAUAAUUUAUAUUCAACAUAUGAAUUAGUAUAUGAUGCAUAAUAUAUAAUUGUGGUGUUGUAGACGCUCAGGUAAGCUCAUGUGAGUUUAUGAAUUGUGAAUGUGAAUAACGGUUGUGAUUAAUUGAGAAGCAUAUAGCUCAUAAACCUGAACCUCAGGUGGUUGUGAUUUAGCCAGAGAUAUGGUACAAGCCUGUUUAUAAUGUCAUCUCCCGCACCUUAUGCUCACAUUGGAUCCAAUUUAGGUGCACAAUCAUGUCGUACAAACCAUCAUAGGUGGUUCCGACUCGUAGUUGACUAGCGAUUUAUCGCAUAGCUAUCAUGAGUGCAUAGCAUUGAGCAUAACUAUAUUACACCUAGUCUUGUCGUACAAACCAGUACAGUGGUUCGGACUCGUGCAAUGUAGUGCCGUAUAGGUCACUUGUAGUGACUCCGGCUAGAUUGAUUAAUGAGCUAUGAAUUCAACCGUUUAGACUUCUGCAAGGAUUCCGGCUAAUAUGUUAUUUCCAUGAAUUUAUUUUCACCUGAAUUACUUAUUAUGUUUUAUAUUUUUGGCAUGGCAUACUUAUGAUUAUGGAUUUGUGAAGCAUGAUUUAAUAUAUAUAUAUAUAUAUAUAUAUAUAUAUAUAUUUAUAUUUAUAUUCCAUUUUUGGGAAAAUUAUACAUGUUUUACGGCGAGGGUUAAGAGCUUUUGGUAAAUGAAAUGAUUUUGAAAAGCUUUGUUUUUGCCCACUCACACUUUUUGUUUUGCGCCCUACUAGGUUUUAGGUAGACUUGCUGUUGAUGGCAUUUGUGGAUCCUGGCGGCUCUGACAAAGUAUAAUAUUCGUAGGGCUUCUUCUAGUACUGUAUAACUAGUACUUGUCCUACUGGACUGCACUUAGACUUCUAUGCUCUGAUUAGGUAUAUUUACACUUGUAUCUCAUUCCUAGCACUUUCUGCAUAUUAGUGCACAUUAAUUAGCUUUCGGUUCUUAUUUAUUCGUAUAUUUCUUAUCCUUAUUGCUUCUGCACUGUGCACAUGACUACGUCGCCCUCACGUGAUGGCCAGAACGCCUUGUUCUUUGGUCGGGGUGUGUCACUUUGCCUAUAGCAUACUAUAAAAAUAAAUAAAUAAAUAAAACUUUUUUAUAUAGGAAAACUAAUGAAAAUGGCUUGAAAACUUUGAGUUUUAACGAUAAGGACAAAAUAAAGGGUAAAGUGAAUAGUAUCAGAAUUGACUUUUUAGUAUAAAAAUGUGGUUUUUCGUUAAAAUGAACAGUACCGGAAAUUUUUCGUUAAAGUUCCCCUUUUUACAUUUGUAUAGAAUAAUAAUACAAUAAUACAUAUUUAACAUACAAUAUAUACAUAUAUACACUAUGGUUAGUGUAUUUUACAGUAAGUUCCUUCAGUAGUUUAAAAAAUUAAAAUCAUCAAAAUAACUUUUUUCUUAACGUGUCGAAACGGAUUACCCGCGUGUCACCUUCGUUUAAACCUGUUAAUAAUUAUUAUUAACGGGUUUUUAUCGUGUGACCGAUAAUGACCUGAUUAAUUAUCAUGUCGAUCCGAAACCCGUUAUUUUUGUGUUGUGUUAACAAGUAGUCUAAAAAAUUACCAGGUCUACCUUCCACCUCCAGUCAUCAUUCACCAACCCCAAUUCCAAUUAUUCAUCAUCACGGAUUCACCACCAAACAAUUCUAUAAUUCCCCCCUCGCCACCCCCAAAAAACACCUCCCGUUAUGAAGAUCCCCUAUGGGCCUAUAAAAGCUCCAAUUUUGCUCAAAACAAAUCCCCCCAACACCUCUUGUUAUGAAGCCUCCAAUCAUCAUUCACCAACACCAAUUAUUCACCAUCAUGGCUUCACCCCCAAACAAUUCCAUAAUCUGUCCCCCCCCAACAAAAAAAAAAAACACCCCCUCUUAUGAAGAUCCCCUAUGGGCCUAUAAAAGAUCCAAUUUUGCUCAAAACAAACCGCCCCAACACCUCCUGUUAUGAAGAUCCCUUACAGGCCUGUAAAAGCUCCAAUUUUGCUCAAAAUAAACCAAUCGUUUUGGUGUCUUUUUUCUUUAUGGAUAAUCCUUUUUUCCCCCAAGAGAUGGCUAUGGAAACUAUCCAAAACGACAUCAUCUACCGGUCUAAACUCCCUGUCAUCCCCAUCCCAAAACAUCUCCUCUGUAAACCUUAUAUGAUUAUUUAAUUAAAACACAAAAAAGUAGUUGACUGACUUGAUCAUGAAGCGAUAGCCAUUGGAGACCAACCAGAGAAAGGAUGUAGUUUGCGGGAACACCAAAGUCUUCUACAAAGCACCUAGCCAAAUACAACUACUUUAUGGGAAGCGUUUGUUGAGUAUCUAAGGUUUGUACGGACGUUAGUGUUGAACAAUAAAAACACAUGACAUAUAAAAAAUAGAGUCCAUAUAAAUUAGGCCAAACUACAAGGCAAAAACAAAAUGUAAUCCAGCCCAAAAGGUGAGGAUGGGCCUUACAUACAAAACAACAUCCAGAAAUAAACAAAUAAAAAAAUAAAAUAUGAAUUUCUUCCUACAAAAGGGGGAAGAAACGUGCAACACGAAAAACCACCUAUUUCUCCGCAGGGCGUAAAAAAAAAAACUGCAAAAGUUAGUGGGAGAGGUUAAGUAAAAGUGGCAGGAGGUCAUGGCCUCCAACUUCCCCCAUGCAACAUAUUCUAGAGCUUUCCUAGGAUGCCUAUGAAUAGGCAUCACCUGCAGCAAGAAAGAUAAAAAAAAGGAGAUACUCUAUAGAAAAAUAGAGAAACUUUGAGAGAAAAUUCCAAAAGCAACGAAGUGCUGCCAGAAAAGAGAGCAAGCAGUUCAAUCAUUUGUGCUUUAGAGUCAAGAUCCAAAAGAAGAACAUUCAUCGCCAGGUAUGAAACAAGUUUUGUUAAUUCAUUCAUCGCUCUUGUUUAAAUGUUGUGUUGCAGGCAAAAGUGAAAAAAAAAAGGGUGUAAUCAACUACCUAGAAGUCUGUAAUCUUCAGUUUAUACAAGAAAAUUGCAACGUUUAAAAGAGAAAUGAAAAAAAAGAUCUAGACUGCCCACUGACUACAGCAGGAAUAAUCUCUAGCAUCCCAUGAAUUUCUUCAGGGUGGCCUAGACCACCCUGUGAAGUUCCAAUCAAAGUCUAAGUAACCCAUACUUGCCGUCCGUACAUUAUGCGGCUUGAAGGAGAUGGGUUUGGUAAAUGCCAUAUCGCAAAAAGCCAGAAGAAACCCAUGCAAUUUGAAAGUCAUUCUUUUGCGAUCCAAUGAGAAAACAGAUGCAUUUGUGGACAAAUAAACAAGGGAAAAGAAGCAAAAUGCAACUUUGGCUCCCCUUGACCGAUUCAUGUUUGGUCUAAAUUCCACAAAAGGAAGUUCCCAAUUCAACCUUUAAUAAAGACAAGGAAAGAAAGGAAAAUUUCCCAAUCUUUAAAAUAACAGCUAAAACAAGGUUCAAAGCCUUCUUUGUCACGUGAAGAUGGGACAAAGAGUUUCAUUGUAUCAAAAAUUUUCACCUGAUUCUUUGCCACAAACAUUUAAAAGAAGUUUCAAAGCCUUCUUUGCCACGAGAAGAUGAGACAAAAAAGAAAAAGGGUUCAUAGCCUUUAUAUUAAACACUUGCCGUCCCAAGUCUACAAAGAAGGAAAAGAUUGCUGCCAAAUUAUUUAGGAAACUCAUUCACAUGGCAAACACCCAAGGAACUAGAAGACAAGUCAAAACUACAAAAGAUUUUGGGAAAAACAUCACUUUGUACAAGGGUUAAUUAGAAAAUAUGGCAAGUAUCUAAGACGAAAUAUGAAUGGGAACACAAAGGGUGUCCAAAUCCCCAUUGUCAAGACCAGUCAAAUAAUUUCCCCUGUGGAAACAGAAAUGCCAGAGAUUAUUUACACUCUAGUACAUCAAAACUCAUUUAAAAUGCAGCAAAUACUAUAAGAGCGCCCUACAAAUUUCAGAGUACACUCCUCACCUUUGGAGCCAUGAAUCAAUACUUGUUUUCAACGAACUCGGUACUGCAAAAUUAGUAUGUCCAACAACCAAAUAGAAGAGUGGUCGUUGCCUGGGAUGCCUGCAUGAAAUAAUUGAUAAUUUCAUCGCAGUUAGAGUUUCAUUCCACUGCAAAUACAUAAGCAAACCCAGAACAUAAAGAAAACAAAAUGGGUAACCUGCUUGAUUUCUUCCCCUCUUUGUUUUGAGUUUUCAAUACACAAAGGAAGCACACAAGCAAAAGAACAAGGCAGUAGAAAGAUGAGAACUCUCAUGUCUUGCUUAAAGUGUGACUUUGUGGUUUAAAGAGAAAUGAUGGAAAAUUGAAGUAAUUGGAGCAAAAAAUCUAAACUCCAACAAACCUUACCCAUUCUUACUCUAAAAUCCAUGGAUACCCAAUCCAAAUAGAAGUUUGAAACAUAAUGAAGUCCACGGAAGUCCAAGUAUAUCGGAAUAGUCGCUUGCUUCUAAAGGAAGACCACCGAAAUUUAGAGUCAAGAAAAAGAGGACUUCUGAGGCCAUUUCGCAAGAGGGGGGAAUGAAUAAAGCCACCUCACGUGGGAGCUUGGCCGCGUAGAAAAGGAGAAGUUUUUGGACUUGGAAGAGUCACAUAAAAAAAGGAGAGAGUAAAAGUUUGUUGUCAGGAGUUUGGUGGGUCAAAUGGGUUCAAGGACCCAUACUGAAUGAGGUCGAAAAAUCAAAAGAAGAAUAUAUAUAAUAAAAAGGAGAGGGCUGCCAUGUGUCUUUUUCCAUCUUAUGAGCCUGUUUGAUCCAAACACUACAAAUAUAUAUAAUAAAGAAAGGAAAAGUUACAUCAAGAGAGGGCUACUCACGUGAGUAUUAUAAGCAUGGUCCAUGGAUUAAAACUCACGGCAGUGGCUCUAUGACACCAAAGAUUGAAAAACAUCAUUGUUUCCUAAAAAUAUUGAGAUAAUAUACGAACUACGUCGGUUUGAUUUCGUUAAGGAUACGUAGGCAGUUUGAUAUCAAAUUUUAGACGCAACCACGAAAUCAAGAUGAAUCCCUGGUUUAUAUAGAUUAAAUUCACUUCUGACCAAGUAAUUACAAACUCUACGAAGAGUAAAGGAAAAGUCUAGAAGCACAAUUCCUAGAUUUCCAAUUAAUGUAUGUUGCUCAAGCAAUGAAGCUGAAGAAAAAUCUCAUAUGGCAUGAAGCCAAAUCAAAAGCUCCAAUGGCUUAAAGUCCUUGGCUGCAAGAGCCUAAACUGCACUAGGCACAAACACUCCAAUGGCUUAAAGUCCUCGCCUACACGAGUUUAAACUGCAUAAGGCAUUAAAAGCUCCAAUGGCUUAAAGUCCUCACCUGCAAGAACCUAAACUGCACAAGGCAUUAAACGCUCCAAUGGCGCAAAGUUCUCACCCGUAUGAGCUAAAACUGUACAAGGCAUCAAAUCCGAACUAGUAUCAAGCAUACAAGGAACUACAAGUGACUUGAUCCCUCAACAAGGGUACGUAGGCAAUCUAGGGUUUUACCUAUAUGCAGUUACAAAAUCAAAUAAACACCCAAAUCCUCAAGUUACGAUUUAUUCAUAUUAGAAUCAAAGGGUAUUCCUUUCCCAAAACAAAAGGUUGUAGUUAAUAGGCGCGUAGCCUAGAAUGGGUUGAACUUAAACUAAUAAAACCCUCUUCGAAAAAAUGAACGAGGGUGAGAUUGUGUCAAGGGAAUUAUUUGUUUACAUAUUAUGUACAAUUUUUGCUCAAUAGUUAGUAUUUAUACUAACUAAGGCAUUAAUGUCACAGCCCGUCCCGGAAUUUUUAAUUCCAAGGACGUGAAAUUACGAAAAUGCCCCUAAUACGUGACUAAGGUAUAAUUUUUACGUUCAUUAUAUCUAAGCUCCUAAAAUUUAGUAAGUAGAGUGGAGACUUAGAUUUAAAUUUAUGUUAGAAUUUUGUAGUUGGGGAUUGGGUAGGAUCUGAUGCGUAAAAUAAGUUAACACACAAAUUAAACCCUCUUUUUAUCAAAUGUAGUAGAGUACGUAAGUAGGGUAUCGUUCUAGGCCGGGGAUUAGGAGGGAUUGCUAAUCUAUUCUAAAUUAAUUUAAAAAUAUUAAAUAAGACUCAAGGACACAAAACUAGGCUAAAAACUCUAAUAACUCGAAACACACUUAAAAUGAUUCAAAAUAAUGAAAACAAUCAAAUUAAACACUAGGACUGAAAUGGACGGAAAUUAAAUUAAAAGACUAACAAUAAAGAAAACUAACUAAAUAAUAUAAUUUAAU